UACGGGGGGUGCGAGCGUUGUUCGGAGUUACUGGGCGUAAAGAGUGCGUAGGCGGUUUUCUAAGUUUGGUGUGAAAUCUCCCGGCUCAACUGGGAGGGUGCGCCGAAGACUGGAAGGCUAGAGUAUGGGAGAGGUAAGCGGAAUUCCUGGUGUAGCGGUGGAAUGCGUAGAUAUCAGGAAGAACACCGGUGGCGAAGGCGGCUCGCUGGGCCAGUUCUGACACUCAUCCGCGAAAGCGUGGGGAGCAAACAGG
rnacentral:rRNA from 1 species